GCGUCAGUAGUGCAGCGGGCUAAAACACGCGCUCCUGGAUAGAGAGCGAGAUGUGGGUUCGAGUCCCGCCUAACACG